rnacentral:tRNA from 2 species
GGCCUGUUAGUCAAGUGGUCAAGACGUCGCCCUCUCACGGCGAAGGCAGGGGUUCGACUCCCCUACGGGUCACCA